CAAUAGUUAGUUUAAUUAAAAUUUUAAUUUUGGAGAUUAAAGAUAAGUUUAGAUUACUUACUGUUGA
rnacentral:tRNA from 1 species